rnacentral:rRNA from 1 species
CCUACGGUGUGCAGCAGUCGAGAAUCAUUCACAAUGGGGGAAACCCUGAUGGUGCGACGCCGCGUGGGGGAAUGAAGGCCUUGGGAUUGUAAACCCCUGUCAUGUGGGAGAAGAGUAAAAAGAUAGUACCACAAGAGGAAGAGACGGCUAACUAUGUGCCAGCCGCCGCGGUAAUAAAGAGGUCUCAAGCGUUGUUCGGAAUCACGGGGCGUAAAGCGUGCGUAGGCUGUUUCGUAAGUCGUGUGUGAAAGGCGCGGGCUCAAGCCGCGGACGGCACAUGAUACUGCGAGACUAGAGUGAUGGAGGGGGAACAGGAAGUCUCGGUGUAGCAGUGAAAUGCGUAGAUAUAGGGAGGAACACUCGUGGCGAAGGCGGGUUCCUGGACAUUAACUGACGCUGAGGCACGAAGGCCAGGGGAGCGAAAGGGAUUAGAUACCCCGGUAGUC